AUUGAACGCUGGCGGCAGGCCUAACACAUGCAAGUCGAGCGGAUGAAGGGAGCUUGCUCCUGGAUUCAGCGGCGGACAGGUGAGUAAUGCCUAGGAAUCUGCCUGGUAGUGGGGGAUAACGUCCGGAAACGGGCGCUAAUACCGCAUACGUCCUGAGGGAGAAAGUGGGGGAUCUUCGGAUCUCACGCUAUCAGAUGAGCCUAGGUCGGAUUAGCUAGUUGGUGGGGUAAAGGCCUACCAAGGCGACGAUCCGUAACUGGUCUGAGAGGAUGAUCAGUCACACUGGAACUGAGACACGGUCCAGACUCCUACGGGAGGCAGCAGUGGGGAAUAUUGGACAAUGGGCGAAAGCCUGAUCCAGCCAUGCCGCGUGUGUGAAGAAGGUCUUCGGAUUGUAAAGCACUUUAAGUUGGGAGGAAGGGCAGUAAGUUAAUACCUUGCUGUUUUGACGUUACCAACAGAAUAAGCACCGGCUAACUUCGUG
rnacentral:rRNA from 1 species